ACGAACGCUGGCGGCGUGCUUAACACAUGCAAGUCGCACGGAAAGGCCCUGCUUUUGUGGGGUGCUCGAGUGGCGAACGGGUGAGUAACACGUGAGUAACCUGCCCUUGACUUUGGGAUAACUUCAGGAAACUGGGGCUAAUACCGGAUAGGAGCUCCUGCUGCAUGGUGGGGGUUGGAAAGUUUCGGCGGUUGGGGAUGGACUCGCGGCUUAUCAGCUUGUUGGUGGGGUAGUGGCUUACCAAGGCUUUGACGGGUAGCCGGCCUGAGAGGGUGACCGGCCACAUUGGGACUGAGAUACGGCCCAGACUGCUACGGGAGGCAGCAGUGGGGAAUAUUGCACAAUGGGCGGAAGCCUGAUGCAGCAACGCCGCGUGCGGGAUGACGGCCUUCGGGUUGUAAACCGCUUUCGCCUGUGACGAAGCGUGAGUGACGGUAAUGGGUAAAGAAGCACCGGCUAACUACGUG
rnacentral:rRNA from 1 species